AGUGAACGCUGGCGGUAGGCCUAACACAUGCAAGUCGAACGGCAGCACAGUAAGAGCUUGCUCUUACGGGUGGCGAGUGGCGGACGGGUGAGGAAUACAUCGGAAUCUACUUUUUCGUGGGGGAUAACGUAGGGAAACUUACGCUCAUACCGCAUACGACCUACGGGUGAAAGCAGGGGAUCUUCUGACCUUGCGCGAUUGAAUGAGCCGAUGUCGGAUUAGCUAGUUGGCGGGGUAAAGGCCCACCAAGGCGACGAUCCGUAGCUGGUCUGAGAGGAUGAUCAGCCACACUGGAACUGAGACACGGUCCAGACUCCUACGGGAGGCAGCAGUGGGGAAUAUUGGACAAUGGGCGAAAGCCUGAUCCAGCCAUGCCGCGUGGGUGAAGAAGGCCUUCGGGUUGUAAAGCCCUUUUGUUGGGAAAGAAAAGCAGCAGGUUAAUACCCCGCUGUUCUGACGGUACCCAAAGAAUAAGCACCGGCUAACUUCGUG
rnacentral:rRNA from 1 species